AUGGAUCAUGGAUUCCCGGAACGGCAGCAUCUCACCAGACAUCGUGAAAGAAGAGUACUAGCAUAUGGAGUGUACCGCCCGCUUUGCCCUGAGAGAGGCAUUGACGGCGUCCUACCACUCCCAAGCGCCCAGGAUCGCAAUCGCCUAAAUUUUGGUGCUAUUCUCUCCAAAGAAGAAGGCAAUGGCUUGUCCUACUUUUAUGCGUUGACGGAGUUUUGCGAUGAGACAGAAAAAUUCACUAUGCGUGUGUAUAUGUUGCAAGGCAGUGUUCGGUGCUUGCAUACCUUGGCCACAUACCAGCUCCAUCUUCCACUACCCAGAGCAAUAGUUGUGCUCGUCGACAAUAAAAUCUAUGUGGUGGCCUCCCCCGCCGACGACAUUAUUGUCUUGGAUUUGACGGCCUCAAGUUUGUCUAGAAUCCAGCUCCCACCUGGAGUGAAGUAUCACAGUUUCAACACCGUCUUGUCACGGGCAGACGAUCCUUCCGGUAUAUGUCUCAUCCAUGUCAAUGGCUUUAAACUUCACAUCUGGCUCCAUAAGGGGGACAACUGGUUGCUGGUCGAUACCAUUUGUUUGCAUGAGAUGUGUGCUAAUCUGAGGAUGCUAGAUAACACGCUUGAGGAUGAGCAUACUGGCCGUUGCUAUAUAUGUCAGGCAGGGGAUAAUGCUGAGUUUCUGCUCAUAAAAAUGUGUGGAUGUCUGCUCUAUCUGGACGUCAAGAACAGGACACUACGUAAAGUUCUUGCGAUGGCACAAAAGUAUCAACAUUUCACUGUUGUCUGCCCUUUUAUGAUGGUUUGGCCUCCCACAUUCCCUGUGCUCAAGGAUGGUCCUGCCAGGAAUGCCAUGUGA
rnacentral:rRNA from 1 species